rnacentral:rRNA from 1 species
UACAGAGGUCUCAAGCGUUGUUCGGAUUCAUUGGGCGUAAAGGGUGCGUAGGCGGCGCGGUAAGUCGGGUGUGAAAUCUUGGGGCUUAACUCCGAAACUGCAUUCGAUACUGCCGUGCUUGAGGACUGGAGAGGAGACUGGAAUUUACGGUGUAGCAGUGAAAUGCGUAGAGAUCGUAAGGAAGACCAGUGGCGAAGGCGGGUCUCUGGACAGUUCCUGACACUGAGACACGAAGGCCAGGGGAGCAAACGGG